rnacentral:misc_RNA from 1 species
UUGGCAAUUGACUUCAGCCACCCUUGUUGGCCUUCAAAGUGUUCCAGUAGGUGCAUUUAGUAUCUAGUUCCCUCAAGGUUGGCUGUUCAUGAUGGGAGUUAUUGGCUUUUCUGGAGUUUUUGUAAUUCACCUCUCUUAUGGUGUUGCUGGUUUCACUGCUGCCUGCUUAUUGGAGAAAUGGAGGUGAUCAAAUUUGAAGGCUCGUGGCAAGUCAAUUUUAUCUCAUUGAAG